CGAACGCUGGCGGCGUGCUUAACACAUGCAAGUCGAGCGGUAAGGCCCUUUCGGGGUACACGAGCGGCGAACGGGUGAGUAACACGUGGUGACCUGCCCUUUAGCUCUGGGAUAAAGCCUGGGAAACUGGGCCUAAUACCGGAUACGACUCCGCGGUGCAUGCUGUGGGUGGAAAGCCUUGUGCGGCUGGAGAUGGGCCCGCGGCCUAUCAGCUUGUUGGUGGGUGAUGGCCUACCAAGGCGACGACGGGUAGCCGGCCUGAGAGGGCGACCGGCCACACUGGGACUGAGACACGGCCCAGACUCCUACGGGAGGGCAGCAGUGGGGAAUCUUGCGCAAUGGGCGAAAGCCUGACGCAGCGACGCCGCGUGAGGGAUGACGGCCU
rnacentral:rRNA from 1 species